rnacentral:piRNA from 1 species
UGAACAUGCCGCUGUCCGAGGUCUGCGA